GUACCUAGCAGCAUGAUGAUGGUUUCUGGGAUGGCACGGAUAACGAAGAGGAGGACCUGGACGAAGAAGCAACAGUCACCAACCAGUGGCCAAAUAACCAGUACUGGACUGCUCUGAGCGGUUCUAAAGAACUGCCUGCCCGGCCUUCCAGAAGUGGAAGUGCGUCAACGUGGAUGGAAAAGUUUUCACCUGCAACUUGAGCUUCAGUUGGAGGCCUUGUCAACGCCUACAAAAUGAGACCUGCUUCAACAAGCGUAGCAAGACAGAAGUAGUCCUUUCGUGGCUUCCAGGGCCGCCAUGUUUGACUCCUUGGAGCAGCGGCGACCCCAGACGGUGCGCCGAAUGUUACUACGAAGCAGAUCCAGAAGCGGGAGAGAACUAUGCCGACUCCAAGAAAAUGCUUCGGGAGGCUCGUCGGAAACUUAAGGAAAACCGUCGACGGAAGAAGUAUCGCAAGCGCAUUAAGAAGGCCCGUUUGGAGAAGGAUUUUCUGUCGCAGAAGCUGAAUUGCCUUUCGCACGACAGCCGGCACUGGCGCUCGGCUCCUCUAUCCUUCUGUAUAUAUGCCAACAACAAUACGUACUCCUACCUGAGGACCGUCGCUGCCACCCACAAUUAUCUGUACUGCGAGCUCCCUUCUACAAUCUGACCAUAAAUCGCCUUAAGACCAUGCCAGGUUACAGAGUGACAGAGUAUCGUGCAUCAAGCCCAACUGGUGACUGCCAGUCGAGGAGCUGCCGCCUUUCUAGCGUUGCAUGCUAUCCAAAUACCUCAGGUGAGAUGACGCAUAUGAAGGGGCGCCCCUGGAAGCAGCAGCCAUAGCCACAGAAACAACAGUCCACGCAGGACAUUAGCUAUCUGAUCCGUCUACCGCCAGACGAAUGUCGAGCGAAUCUGCACCCAGCUCUAAGUGGCCGUCCUCAACUCUUUCGCCAUGUAUCUGGACCUGUCCGGCCGCCAGUUGGAUGUGCCGCAGCGCAAAUUCAAGGUCUACUUCCUGAUGCCCGGGGAAGAGGAGGCACAAAAGGUGGACCGGCUGAUGGAGAUCUUCUCUAAGCGCUACUGCGUCUGCAAUACACGGUAUUCGAUCUGAAACCCAGCUUGAAGCCGGAGAGGCGUAUGCGCGUCGAGGACCUCAUCAAGAAUCUGCGGGGCAUCGACGAUUGCCACGACAGUGACAAGGACAUCUCAGCAGGGGUAUCUUCGAGCGCGUCAAGUCGGGCGAAUUCAAGAAGGGCAGCGACCACGCCACUCAUGCGUAUCGUGCAACUAAAAACAAUGGUCGGACCUGACGCACGUGUACCCUAAAUAUUAAUUAAAAACAUUUUUGUAGAGCCAAAACUACCAAAAACAUAAAAUACUAAUAACGAUAAUAAUAAUAAUACAUA